ensembl:lncRNA
UUUUGCAUCCUGAAAGCUGGUUAUAUGGACUAUAUCACAUUAUUUCUGGACUUUUGUAUUUAUUUUUGCCUUAAUACUGGAAAUCUACGUCUUUAUGGGAGAAUUUUGAGGAGUGAUGCAUUUGGAGAAGUGAUGAUUUUGGGUAUCUAUCUAGUUUGUCAUAUGUUGGAGUCAUGUACGUAUUGUGUCAUACAGCCAAACACGGUCUCAUUUCAAAGAUGUUUCAUGUUUAUUAUAAUGGUUUCUGUAGUCUACAUAGCUGUAACCUAUAUAUGUAUGUGUCUAUGCAUGUGUGUGUGUGUGUGUGUGUGUGUGUGUAUAUAUAUAUAUAUAUAUAUAUAUAUAAACUUAUUCAUAGGCUAGCUGAAGCCAUUAUAAUAAGAUGAAUCAUUAUAAUAAGAUGAAUCUGGUUGAAAUGUUGCUUUAGAGUAGAUUGAAAACCUUUGAUAUUUGAAGAAAACUGAAAGCUACUUAUGAGGUUUCCCAGAAGAGCAGAUGAAGGUUAAUUCCAGGAAAUUUUGUUAUAGUGAAGAGGUCACUUUUUUUGCUGGUGUGGCCGACCUGACCAAUCAGAUCUCAGCAGUGACAGAAUAGGUGGAGGGAGUUUCCCAAGGAGAUUACUUAACCUAAAGAACAACUAUGAUGUCAUUGUGAUGUCAGUGUGAGGAAGCACAUGGUCUGUAUUUACAAACAAGAGUAAGACAGGAUGAAGAACGAAGGAUUUUACCAGCAAAAAAUGUUUAAUGUUCUGAGAUUAGGAGUUUUUGUGGGAUUGUUUUGUUACUUUGUUGUUGAGUUAUUUUGUUUUUUUAGAGGGGUCUUAUAACCAGGAAUUCAGGAAUUUAUCCAGCAGAGUGUGAUUUGAGUAACUUAUUAUUUAUUUCCAGCCUGAUCCAAACACACAGUCCUGCCACUUCAUGGUUUUUCUGUUUAUGUGGACAGGGCUUAUCAUAAGCCAAAGUUUGUUUCCUGACUUCUCAACUUUCCAAACUCAGGUUUUCUUUCUUUCUUUCAUUCUUUCUUUCUGAGCUGCUGGAACUCUCUGUGUUAUCAUUGGUAAGACCUACAAGGUUUUGGUGAAAAGGAAAUGCUUCGAUCUGAACAAAAACUUUCAAAUUCUUGUGGUUUGGCUGUUCCUUCUUGUGCGUCUAGUUGUUACAGGGGCACGUUUAGGUCAGUUAGAGGAGCUGACAAAUCACAGACUGUACUUUCCAUUUCUAAUCACUGCAGUUAAUGUAUCUUAUUAAUUUGACUGUCUUUUUAAAUGGAUAGAAUUUAUUGAUCUAAAAAAAACUGAAUUUAAACUUUUAUUAGGGCAAAACAUGUUGCUGAUUAUUUCUUACAUUAUUUUCUCUGCUUUUCAGUUUCAAGGUCUGACACUGCCCAGUUUAUCUUCUUUUAGAGGCUGAAUGUGUAAUUAAUCAUUCUUAGAGUGGCAGUGAAUCUGUGUGUGUGUGUGUGUGUGUGUGUGUGUGUGUUCGUCCCUGUAUGAUGCCCUUAGCCCUGAACAGUAAGAGUUUAUGUGCUGAGGUUCAAGUAUCAGCACAUGGUCUCUUACUUGUAGGGAAAAGAGUCUCUAUCAACCUCUCAUCACUUUGUUUCAAAGUAUUCACUUUGUUUUGGAAGAUCAACAUUUAGAUUUGAUCAUUCAGCAACAAAUAUGGAAUGUCGCAAGUUUAGCAUACAUGAGGCAACAAUUUCCAGAUCAGAGAGUUUCCAGAUCAAACUUUUUUUAUUAACUCAGGAAAAAAAAAAAAAAACAGUUAACCCUGGGCAAAACUAUUGAUUUUACUGCUAAGUAACACAGAAGCUAGAAAAUAAUAAAAAUGCAGAAGAACAGAGAAAAUAUUUUUAAAAUCAAUUGUUGCCUUCUAAAUGAAAAAAAAAAAUUUUAAUGAUCAACAGGGAUUAGAUGCUAUCUUUUUUUUCUUUCUUUUUUUUUUAACUUGGACCCCAAAAAUGCUUUAAAAUGUAGAUAACCCUGGCUACAAAUGUUUAAUUAAUCAAAACUGGCAUAAUUUUAAAAUAUUAAAACCAAUACAGGGGACAUUGUCUUUGGAUGUUGAGAUUUUAUUUACUUAAAUUUUCAUAGAAACAUUUCUGAAUAUAAUUUCUUUCUAUUACAUUUAAUGGUACCAAGCACAACACUGGCCCACAGAUUGUUUUCCGCAACUAUAAACUCUCUCCUCAAGAGGGCGAUGUGUGACUGCUAAAAUUGGAUAUUUUUUAGCAUUUGGGCCAUGUUCUAUUGCACACUACUAAAAAUUGUUGCAGAUUAACAUACAUUUAGACAAGACAUCUCUGCCAGUUUGAUAUGUAUUAAUUACUCACUGAAUUCACUAAAACACCUGCCCAGCUGUCCCAGAUGGCACUGCAACCGGUAAAAAGAAAAUGAAAUUGUCUGGAAAAAAAGGAGCAAUCGUUGGCACUCCACAUUAGAAUGAAUCACUGUGCCAUCAAGGGAACAAACUGAAUCAUCAGGAAAUCAUUAUAGAGAAACAAUUGUAUAUUCUGGUACAGUACAUGAAGCAAUUACAUUGGAAAGCGAAUCUGCUUGUAUUGAAGUAUUUAAUGUAUGUUGUGCAAAGAAUAAAGUUUUUGGUCUCAAAUGAAGAACUCAAUGUAGCUUUGAUGUUUUACAGCAGGCAAAGUCUGAGAAAAACAUGUUUACUUUAAUGUUGACAGAGACGUCUUUUAACAGAGUUUCAGAAGGAGGUAAAAAUACAAAUAUAUAAAGUCAGACUUUGACCUACUUUUUGAAAUCAUAUCAUUCAGCUUCUUAGAAAAUCCUCACUGUGCUACAGUUUCUGGUCACGUGCGUGAAACAUAAUUCAGCCAGCUAGUCGCAAUCAUUUCUGAUGCUUUCAGUUGUUGCUAUAACACCUGCCCCUUGGCGACCAUGGCUGUAGACUGUUACCAUGUGCCAUCGCUACAGUAACAAUCUAAAGCCACGGUCACCAUGGAGACAGCAGAGGUAGGGAUGAGGGGGUGUUGGCAUGGUAACUGGAAAUAGUGCAGUUCUAUUGGCUUGUUAGAUGAAAAGCCAUGCCUCCAUAGCACAGGACUCCCCCAAUACAGGCUCAGACAUACACAACUGUUUGCCGUCACAGCCGAGUAUUUCUGAUGAAUGCGUGCAUGCACAUUUUAACAGGGUUCACUUUUCAAUCACAACCGAAGUUAUACAGAUGAAAGGCUAAAACCCUUCUGUAUUAGUGUUGUGUGUUUGUGAUGCUGGAGCCAGACUUCAGUAGCCAUGACUGUAGACUGUUACUGUACUGUUGGACUCCAUAAGCAGUAAGCAGUCUAGAGCCAAGGUCAUGAAGUGCUGGCAUACUGGUGAAGACUCACAUAAUAGCCAAGCUGGGCAAGACCGAGGUGAAGUCAGUUCACAUGGAGAGACAGAACAGCUACUGCAAUUAAAGAGAAGUGUUACAAAAAACACAGCAGAACUCAAAUAAAUUUUAAUAAUCACAUAAAAUGAAUCUAGAUAAGAUAUUGCUUUAAUAUGAUUAAUGAUUAUGGCCAUGAAUCUGAUGCAUAACCGGGUUAUUUUAGUAGAAGGGCAGUGGUUUGCCCAAGCAGAAUGUUCUCGGGAACAUUGAUUCCCGUGAGCUUCGCUGCUGGGUCAGUGACGUAGAUGCUGGCUUGAACCCCUUGAAAGUUGUUCCAUUUCCUAAAAGCUUUUUUUUAUUAUUAUUGUUUUAUUCUCCAUAUAUUACUUGAUAUUAGUGACUUUUACUGGUAGCCCAAUGCUAGACUGCUUAAAUUAAUUUAAAUGCAUUCAGGUCUGAAAGGAAGAUGUAGACUUGACAGCAAUAACCGCUGUCCAUGGUGCUGAAAACACAGCUUUUCAUUCAGAAAUUGCUAUUAAAUUCUACAAAUAAUUACAAAGAAAAGGCAACUAAUAUACUGAACUGAACAUUUUGAAGUAGUAAGACUGAAAUGGUAUUUUCGUGUAAAACCUACUCAAAUAAUCUUGUUUGGUAGCGUUCUAUGCCUCAAGGUGGUGAUAAAUAAAUAGUAAAAUGAAAUAUAAUGGAGAAGUUAGGCAGAAUAUGAUGAACUGACACUGACUUUUAUAGCACAUUUCUGCAUACAACUUAAGUGUUAUUCUGCUCCAACUAUCAUAUUUGAGUUCCACAUAUUAAAAGAAUUAAGACAUCAGAAACGAAAAAAAAAAUGAAAAAGAGUGCAGGGUGAGCAAAUAAUGUUAGAAUAUUAAUUUUGGUUGCACUGUUCCUUUAAGAAACAAAAUAUAUUUCGUGUACUUGUUUCAGUUCAAAAUAGCCUAUUGGUCAUUAGUGUCAUUGGCUAUGCUUAUUCAAUUGUACAUUCAUUAAUUUAGAGAGAAUGAAUAAAGAUGUCAUCAAUGAAUGUGAAACGGACCCAUCUUUAACACCCCCACUAAAAAUAAAAGGAUUGUGCUGCAAUCGUUUGUGUGUGAGUGUGUGUUUGAAGCUGAGCGCGCGCUGUCUCUUUAAAGGGUUACAGUAGGUGACUACGAAUCAUCUGCAAAGUGCGCAAUAGUGACGCAAACCUGACUUCAACGCCUGAAUACACGUCACAAAAUCUGUGUAGAAAAAAAAGUGAACGGAAACGUUAGGUAGGAAGGAAAUUCAUAGCCUACACUCAAGAGGGGACGAAUAAGGGAGAUAAAACAAAAAACAACAACAAAAAAAAAACGACAUAGUUGAAUAUAACGGCAAAAAUAAAACGAUAGUUAGUGGAGGUACGAGGGCAUCUACAGGAAAGAAAGGAGAGCGCGAGUGUUGCCAUGUCUAGCUGUUAUAAGCGACUUGGUCCUUGUUUUCUCACUUAGAAAUAGGCGGGUUUUAGGCUAAGAAUACACAGUUGACUGAUUCGUCGUUAUUUAGUGUGAAAUAAGUAUGUUUAAACGAAGUCUUUGGGGAGCUGAGGGAGCGUUUCUGCUCCUCUUCAGAUAAACUGCAGAGGAAAUGGACCAUUUCCUACAAAACCUCUAUUUUGUUUCGAAGCCUGUUAUAAGGAAUAAGUUCCAUGCUAAAUGAAUGUUUGUUUUUUUUGUUUGUUUUUUUUCUGUCAGGACCUGGCAACAACUACGACAGUUAUCUUCACCGGAAAUCUCCCGGUGUCACACAUUCACGAGAAAGUUUACAGCGAAGAUUCGGACGGCAUUGUACAUUAGAUGCUUCACUUACAGCGACAUAGAAAAUAGACUUAAUUCACGAAAUGUAUAUACAUACAUUGCAAAAAUACAUAUUUCUAAUAUGUCUGUGUUUACCGAAAAGUUAAUACGCAAUGAGGUAAACGUAUAAUGAAUAAUAGGCUAAUGCAAAUUCUAACUUCACAAAUUAAUUUUCUACUCUUCUUAGAUCAUAUUCUUUAAUUUAACUCGCGAAAGCAAGCUUUUUUUUCAUCAUCAAAUGCAUUGUCCAAUAGACUGUUCCCUUUAAAGGGUCUUCAUGCUGCCCACGUGCGAAAAAAGUGAGUCACACUGCAGCAAGUUUCAGGUCGCCUGCAAUGUACCGUACAUCUUUUAAUAAAUACGCAUUUAAAAUAUUGUCUGGAAAAAGAACUUAUGAGACUUUAGUGUUUGGCAACCAUCAGGUCAUUUCUAAAUGAACUUCCAGGCUGUCACCGUGCCAUUUUCAACCAAACAGUUUCAAAUCACACUUACCUUGAAACACAGGAGUCCUCGCCAAAAUUGCAGUCGAUUUUCAGGCGGCUGUCCGUUUUCUAGUAAGCUGGCGCUCCAGGAGGAUGGCUCGAUGUACUGCGUAAUGAGAAGUUCUUAGUGUCUCCAUUUGGGCCACUGUCUGCACUCGUCACGCUCGUCUUGUCUUCUUUUUCCUGGUAGAAACAAGCAGCUCUCGAGCGCUUUUCCAUCUACCG